GGUUGGUCCAAGUGCAGUGGUGUUUACAACUAAUUGAUCACAACCAAUUACAGAUUCCUUUGUUCCUUCUCCACUCCCACUGCUCCACUUGACCAGCCUUAA
rnacentral:Y_RNA from 1 species